rnacentral:rRNA from 1 species
AGUGAACGCUGGCGGUAGGCCUAACACAUGCAAGUCGAACGGCAGCACAGUAAGAGCUUGCUCUUACGGGUGGCGAGUGGCGGACGGGUGAGGAAUACAUCGGAAUCUACUUUUUCGGGGGGGAUAACGUAGGGAAACUUACGCUAAUACCGCAUACGACCUACGGGUGAAAGCAGGGGAUCUUCGGACCUUGCGCGAUUGAAUGAGCCGAUGUCGGAUUAGCUAGUUGGCGGGGUAAAGGCCCACCAAGGCGACGAUCCGUAGCUGGUCUGAGAGGAUGAUCAGCCACUCUGGAGCUGAGACACGGUCCAGACUCCUACGGGAGGCAGCAGUGGGAAUAUUGGACAAUGGGCGCAAGCCUGGUCCAGCCAUACCGCGUGGGUGAAGAAGGCCUUCGGGUUGUAAAGCCCUUUUGUUGGGAAAGAAAAGCAGCAGGUUAAUACCCCGCUGUUCUGACGGUACCCAAAGAAUAAGCACCGGCUAACUUCGUG